rnacentral:rRNA from 1 species
UACGUAUGGUGCAAGCGUUAUCCGGAUUUACUGGGUGUAAAGGGUGCGUAGGUGGCAAGGCAAGUCUGAAGUGAAAAUCCGGGGCUCAACCUCGGAACUGCUUUGGAAACUGUUUAGCUAGAGUACAGGAGAGGUAAGUGGAAUUCCUAGUGUAGCGGUGAAAUGCGUAGAUAUUAGGAGGAACACCAGUGGCGAAGGCGACUUACUGGACUGGUACUGACACUGAGGCACGAAAGCGUGGGGAGCAAACAGG